ACACACCGCCCGUCACUCUCCCCAAAUUUAAAGAACUUUCACUUGAUAAUAAACCCUGUCAACAAAGGGGAGGCAAGUCGUAACAUGGUAAGUGUACCGGAAGGUGUACUUGGAUUAAAUCAAAAUGUGGCUAAAUAGAAAAGCACCUCUCUUAC
rnacentral:rRNA from 1 species